rnacentral:misc_RNA from 1 species
UGGUAUCUUGAGGUGUCUUCUUCAGAAAAAUUAUCUGCAAAGAGAUGGUCAAUUUCGUUCAUACAUUAUUUUCUUUUUCCCGGCAACUUGCUUCAGCAUCAGAGGGGAAGAAACCACGCUUGGGUUUAGGUCAAUUUGGAUUCGACUGGGCUGAAGCACUUGAUCAAUUGNAGGCCAUGAACUCAUCAAAAGUCAGCAUCUACAAGUUGGAGGACUAUAAAAUAAUAUACACAGAAAUGUCACCUCUCUCGAUGCCCAACAAAAGUAAGCCAAUGCAACUUCUCUCUCUCUCUUUCUCUCUCUCUCCACCACUACCACCGCCAGGCACCAGCAACCACGCUGACUUCAGAGUCAACCAAAUGUGUAUUUUUGUGUAUGCAAAAAACCAUUAGAGAGACGUGAUUUUGUUUCUAUGCAUUUGAGGAACACCAAGGAUGUCUGGGCGCAGAGAGCUACCUUUGAUGAGACACAGCACAUCUGCGCACUCACUGCGCAAUUGGAGAAUCACUAUCGCAAUAGCUGUUGGGAUUUUCCUUGGAUGUGUCUUCGCCUUCUUUUUCCCUCACGGAUUCUUUCUUUCCAAUCCUAAUUUUCACUCUCCCC